rnacentral:rRNA from 1 species
AGCGAACGCUGGCGGCAGGCCUAACACAUGCAAGUCGAGCGCCCCGCAAGGGGAGCGGCAGACGGGAGAGUAACACGUGGGAACGUACCCUUCAGUUCGGAACAACCAAGGGAAACUUUGGCUAAUACCGAAUACGUCCGUAAGGAGAAAGAUUUAUCGCUGAAGGAUCGGCCCGCGUCUGAUUAGCUAGUUGGUGGGGUAAUGGCCCACCAAGGCGACGAUCAGUAGCUGGUCUGAGAGGAUGAUCAGCCUCACUGGGACUGAGACACGGCCCAGACUCCUACGGGAGGCAGCAGUGGGGAAUAUUGGACAAUGGGCGCAAGCCUGAUCCAGCCAUGCCGCGUGGAUGAUGAAGGCCCUAGGGUUGUAAAGUCCUUUCGGCGGGGAAGAUAAUGACGGUACCCGCAGAAGAAGCCCCGGCUAACUUCGUGCCAGCCGCCGCAGUAAUAC